AGCCUCAUUUCACGACUAAGGCAAACUUCGUUGAAAAAUUUCUAAGUCCAAAAAUAGUCAUAAGGCUUACUGAAGGUUCAAAACAAAAAAAAACAAAGCCCCAAAACAAAGAGGUUCGGAGUUACAACAACAAAAGACCUCGAAGGGACAAAAGACAAAACAACUAAGAAAGAUUACAACAAACAUAAAGAGUCAGCCCUCGACACGGCCAGGGUCGUCCACUGAAUGUCGAGGAACCGGAUCAAGAGCAUUCUCGACAACUCCCGCGUCGGAAAUGGGUGGGUCAGCCUCCAGUGACCUGCUUUCAGGUUCCUCGGGGACUUCGGCAAUCGCGUCCUCGCUCCCUCGCUC
rnacentral:lncRNA from 1 species